AGAGUUUGAUCCUGGCUCAGGACGAACGCUGGCGGCGGGCUUAACACAUGCAAGUCGAACGAGGUCCAUCUUGUAGCAAUACAAGUGAAGACCUAGUGGCGAACGGGUGAGGAACACGUGAGAAAUUUGCCCCGAACUUUGGGAUAACAGUUGGAAACGACUGCUAAUACCGAAUGCCGUUACGAAGUGGCAUCACUUUGUAACGAAAGAAUUUCGGUUCGGGAGAAUCUCGCGGCCUAUCAGCUUGUUGGUGAGGUAACGGCUCACCAAGGCUACGACGGGUAGCUGGUCUGAGAGGAUGAUCAGCCACACUGGGACUGAGACACGGCCCAGACUCCUACGGGAGGCAGCAGUGGGGAAUCUUGCGCAAUGGGCGAAAGCCUGACGCAGCAACGCCGCGUGCGGGAAGAAGGCCUUCGGGUUGUAAACCGCUUUCAGCAGGAACGAAAAUGACGGUACCUGCAGAAGAAGGAGCGGCCAACUACGUGCCAGCAGCCGCGGUGACACGUAGGCUCCAAGCGUUGUCCGGAUUUAUUGGGCGUAAAGAGCUCGUAGGCGGUUUAGUAAGUCGGGUGUUAAAACUCUGGGCUCAACCCGGAGAGGCCAUCCGAUACUGCUGUGACUUGAGUUCAGGAGGGGAGCGGGGAAUUCCUAGUGUAGCGGUGAAAUGCGCAGAUAUUAGGAGGAACACCGAUGGCGAAGGCGCCGCUCUGGGCCGAUACUGACGCUGAGGAGCGAAAGCGUGGGUAGCAAACAGGAUUAGAUACCCUGGUAGUCCACGCC
rnacentral:rRNA from 1 species